CGGGGGGAGCAAGCGUUGUUCGGAUUUACUGGGCGUAAAGGGCGCGUAGGCGGCCUCUGCAAGUCGACUGUGAAAUCUCCGGGCUUAACCCGGAACGGUCAGCCGAUACUGCAGGGCUGGAGUGCAGAAGGGGCAACUGGAAUUCUCGGUGUAGCGGUGAAAUGCGUAGAUAUCGAGAGGAACACCUGCGGCGAAGGCGGGUUGCUGGGCUGACACUGACGCUGAGGCGCGAAAGCUAGGGGAGCGAACGGGAUUAGAUACCCCGGUAGUCCUAGCCUUAAACGAUGAAUGCUUGGUGUCUGGGGUUUUAUAGUCCCCGGGUGCCGUCGCUAACGCUUUAAGCAUUCCGCCUGGGGAGUACGGUCGCAAGACUG
rnacentral:rRNA from 1 species